UCGAGCGAAUGGAGCUAAACGGCUAAAAAUUGUUUUUCACUAAUUGGUCAAGCUCUUCAAUUUUGGAAUUUAUGAGUAUGUAUCACACUAAAAUAGCAAAGAAAAUAUACCUGUAUAUUUGUUUUUGCAGUAGUACUCUAGCGUUUCUGCUACGUUAGCAGUCUAUCCGCACCCAGUAACAGAAAUGCUAGCGUACUACUGCCCAAAACCCAUUCAUUUUGGACUCACUCGCGGACGCCCUGUGGAGUUUUGUAGUCAUAAUUUGAUGUAACGAGAGGAGUACGAAGUCGCAGGCUAUUAAUUCACAUGAGAAUAGGUUCUAUCUCAUAUGCAGCUCUAUCUAAUGCUGCACCAUUAAGGUGACAGUAUUUGUACCUAAUUUGUGAUUUAGACGGUCUGCCAAAUGCGUAACAUUUAAAUGUUCUGAAAUACCACUGCAUGUAAUAUAGCAGAAUAGGGAAUCCGGUUUAUUGGUCAAGUAUGCUGACACAAAAGGAAUUUAGGUCCAGCUGUUGGUGUCGCUCCAGCAAUACAGAGAUUGAUGAGAGGUCAUACUACAUAUAAAUCAGAGCUCAUCUAUACAAACCUGCAGAUGCUUCAGUCCUUGGAAGUCUUUUAACUGUGGUCAAACAAGUUCAAGACAACUGGCGUAAGGACAAGUCAAUAUGGACCACAAAACCAAAGCUCUCUCAAUCCGAAGAUAUAUAAACACUUAAAAACCACUAUAGAACACACCCUGCUACACCCUGAUCAUCUUAUUAUGGGAUGUAGGGACUAAUGGUCAUUAAGUUUGGGUAGACUGGGGUCUUAUGCACAGUCAGCAAUAAGCCAAUGGGUAAACUUCAUUAGGUUACCAUCAUCCCCCAUUAGACUUAUUCUCAACUGUGCCCUCUUUGCUCAAGCCAGUCUUCAGGCUAGGCACUGAGGUAAAAGGGAAGAUAAUGUUUAGACAGACAAAGCUCCGAUCCCAUGCUGUUGGAGCAAACACCAGACACUUGCUCCCAUUGUGAAGGUUAUGUCAAAAUGACUCAUUGUUGUAGAUUAAAAUUGCAGCAAUGUUGAUAUUAAAAUUAUUUUAUUAAAUGAUUUUAUACAUUUUAUUACAGCUCAUUCCACCAUUCAUCACUGAAUGAA